UCCUGAGUCAGUGUAGCAGACUGUUGGUAUUAACUACAGUCCAAAUCCUCAAAGCUCCUGAUCUUACUCCAGAAUUUCAUGAUCCCCAGGGUGUAGAUGUGAAACAUCACCAGCUGCACAGAGUCGCCUCUAAUCGAAGAAAACAAGAGUGGUCACUGGAACCUCAGGAGCAUGUUUAACUCAACAGAGAGAGAGAGCGAGAGAGAGAGAGAGGUGAUAGGAAGAGAAGGAUAUGGAUUAUUAUGUUAUUGUUGUAUGAAAGUUAAUGUCACUGUGCAGUCUGGACUUCAGUAAGACUCACUAUAGCAGCAGAACUAAAAGGAAGAAACAGAAGGUGACAUGAGACAAGAACAUGUGGACAUGUGGAAAUGUUACACAAUCAUGUAUUAUAAAAAAAUAAAAGGGUAAUUUGUAAAGCAUUAUCGAAACAUGGUGGUCAUAGAAAAACUGUACUUUUUCCAUGCCUACACCAGCACUUGCAACUUGAGUUUUUCCAACAUUACAAUAAUCCACAAGUAACCCACACCACUCCUGUCUAUCGGUUAACAUCUUGUGAAGAGAAAAUCUGUGUGUUUGUAAGAAACAAAUCCAUUACUUGUGGAUUAUUGUGCUGUUUUUAUCAGCUGUUUGGACUCUCAUUCUGAAGGCACCCAUUCACUGCAGAGGAUCGAUUGAUGAGCAACAGACGUAAUGCUACAUUUCUGCAAAUCUUAUCACAUUAAGAAACAAAAUCAUCUGCAUUUUGGAUGGAAUAAGGAAAAGUAAAUUUACCUUCAAUUUACUACGUUUUGGAUGAACUUUAAUAAAGAAACAUGGCUUUUUAAUACAAUAACAAUUAGUUUAUAUUGAAUCUUUUAAAAAGUGUCUACCAAGUGCUUUCCAGGAAACCUGUAUAUUUAUGUAAAUGCACAUGUAUAUUUGUUGUAAAAAAUUUAUAAAUAAUAGAAAUAAAUAAAAAAAAUGUACACAUUUGUGCUAACUUUUGUAAUAUGUGGCUAAUGACAAUUGGUCAAUAAAAGUGAUGUGUGUAGUGAUGUGCAUUUCUUUAGUGCGAGUUCUGAUAAAUAUGCAUUGAUGUUCAACCUUUAAUGCAGGAUCACAAUCAUUUAUUUUGUAUUUAAUUUAUUCUUGUGUUUUUACU